rnacentral:rRNA from 1 species
GACGAACGCUGGCGGCGUGCUUAACACAUGCAAGUCGAACGGAAAGGCCCUGCUUUUGUGGGGUGCUCGAGUGGCGAACGGGUGAGUAACACGUGAGUAACCUGCCCUUGACUUUGGGAUAACUUCAGGAAACUGGGGCUAAUACCGGAUAGGAGCUCCUGCUGCAUGGUGGGGGUUGGAAAGUUUCGGCGGUUGGGGAUGGACUCGCGGCUUAUCAGCUUGUUGGUGGGGUAGUGGCUUACCAAGGCUUUGACGGGUAGCCGGCCUGAGGGGGUGACCGGCCACAUUGGGACUGAGAUACGGCCCAGACUCCUACGGGAGGCAGCAGUGGGGAAUAUUGCACAAUGGGCGGAAGCCUGAUGCAGCAACGCCGCGUGCGGGAUGACGGCCUUCGGGUUGUAAACCGCUUUCGCCUGUGACGAAGCGUGAGUGACGGUAAUGGGUGAAGAAGCACCGGCUAACUACGUG